AUUGCAAGAUGUUGACGAAAGCAAGGUGAUAGAUGCCGAUGAAAAUCUUUGUUAUUUAUUUGCACUGUCUGGAGCAUCUCUGGGUUUAGAAGGAGAGUUGCUGAGAACUGAAUAAAAUGCUUGUUUCCCGUUAGAAAGUUGUUGAGGACACACUUGAUCAUCAGUGCCACAGCGAGCUUUAGAUCUGGCCAGUCGUGAUUUUGGAGACAAAUCUAAAUGACAACAAUAUCUUUGUUGAGGCCUGGAGACUCAAGUACUGAGACAAACCGGGGUGGGUUCAAUGUCUCCCUCUCUAUCAAAAAAGUCAAAUGAAUUAGAAAUUAGGAAGUAACUGAUGCUAUCAGCAGCUCAGAAGGACCUCCUGCACGGUACGGAACAAAAAAGUGGGCAGAUAUUAAAUAGGGGCUUCUAGUAUAUAGUAAACAAAGAGUUGCCUUUUAAUAAUCUGAGUUAUAUAAAAAAGGAAAUUUCCCUCUAAGUUUGAAUGUUCGUCAAAACAUUAAAAAGGUUUUUAUAAAACCUGAUUUUUAAAACCAUGAUUUUAUUUGCUAUCAAACAAUGUUAAGGCUGCCAAAUAUUUGAUGGACUUAAAAGUAUCUCAAUUAUGUUAUUUUAUGUACUCAGGGUAUCUAUUCAGUCAAGUAUAAUUGUAAAUAGAUCAAUAGUAAAAUCGUUAUUUGUAAAUUACACCCAUAAACUAUUUCUUAUACAGGAGAAUAAAUAUAGACAUAUAUGCGCCUAUGCAUGUAUACAUCCACUUCCACAUAUAUAAACACACAAACUUGCAAUUGAAAAAUAAACAUUUCACAGUUACUCUACUUAUUUUGAAAAUUCCCCUUUUUAAAAUUAAUUUUUGUUGGAGUAGAGCUGCUUUACCAUGUUGUGUUAGUUUCUGCUGUACGGCAAAGUGGAUCAGCUAUACGUAUACAUAUAACCCCUCUUUCUCAGGUUUCCUUCCCAUUUAGGUCACCACAGAGCACUGAGUAGAGUUCCCUGUGCUAUAACAGCAGGUUUCAUUAGUUGUCUAUUUUAUACAUACUAUCAAUAGUGCAUAUGUGUCGAUCCCAGUGGAAAAUUCCCCUUCAGUAACAAGGCAUUGAAUGGAAGUUCAUGGAUCGGGAGGAGGUGACAUUCUCUCCUUUACAUCCAGCCUUACGAUCAGGGAGUGACUUAGAGGCUGGGGAGAAGCUGGCUUAUUAUCUCUGUAUCAGUGAGGGGCAGAGAAGCAACAGACCUCUGGCAAAUACACCUUCUUCUCAAGAAGAAGAUGAACCGAUGGAAAAAAUAACCCACGUUUUAAGUUAGAUGCGUGUACGUUGCUUCUCCUCGUUUCUACAAAGGAGUCAGGAUUUGUGGAUGUGUUUCCCACCUGUUUCAGGGAUGUCCCGCCUUCCCCUUAUCUACAGCCCCUUAUCUACAGCCAGAUAGCCAGAGAGCCAGGAGGGUGGCUGCAGUCAGUUACAGGGUUACAGGGUCGUGAUCAUUCCACAGACCCACUCCCUCGCUGCUUUCCUUGCCAUUCCCACCGCUGCUACCUUUGACUUGAGUCAGUAAAGCAUCUUACAGCCUCCCUCCUUCUGGGCUCACACCGUUUCAGCGCACUGUUCCGCCGCAGCCAGGAUGACUUCGUUACCGUCCUGCUUACAAUCCUUCUAGGCUCCUUUGCAUCCACCAUAAACUCCACGGUCCUCAUCAGGCCCCCAGGCUCCCCGUGAAGGGGCUCCAGCCUACUGCCACCUGGUCUCUGGGGUCCCCACCCUCACUGGGUGCCCGGUGCCCCAAACUAGCCUGUGCUUUCAGUUCCUUAAUUCACGCCCCCAGCAGCUCCUCUGGGGAGCCCUCCCCUUCCCAGCUCCUGGGUACACGCUCACCUCACGGCUCAGCACCGUAUCUUCUCUACAAAGCCCCUCUGGCUUCCUCCUGCCUCCUUCUUGGUUCUCACAGUAGGAGCCACUGACAACACAGUCUGUUGCACUGACUUCUGUCUGCUUCUGUUGGACUGCGAGAUCCUUGAGGAUGCUCACUUGCUCUGUGUUCCAAGUGGCUGGCAUGCUGUCUGGCACAAUUUCAAUAAAAUUAUAUUUAAUGCAAGAAUGAAUGGAUAGGGCUUCCCUGGUGGCGCAGUGGUUGAGAGUCCGCCUGCCGAUGCAGGGGACGCGGGUUCGUGCCCCGGUCCGGGAGGAUCCCACAUGCCGCGGAGCGGCUGGGCCCGUGAGCCGUGGCCGCUGAGCCUGCGCGUCUGGAGCCUGUUGCUCCGCAACGGGAGAGGCCACAACAGUGAGAGGCCCGCGUACCG
ensembl:lncRNA